CUAACCCUGGGGGAGACAUACAUUCUGAAUGUGAAUGACAUACAGGACACGUGUCAGAAGAAUGCAGCAGCAGCUCUGGUGGUGGGGCGCAGGGACAUGGCUAAGGUGUGGGCCCUGGCCUCGGCUGCCACCAGUCUAGAACUCAGUCCUGAUUCUGACUCGGACCCUGAUGCAGACGCUCCCUGGGCCAGACACCCGUUUGGCCGCCACCUGCUGGAGACUCUCCUAAACCACUACAGCCUGAUGAGUGAUGUCCAGUCGGUAGCCAUGCUGUGUAGUGUGUUCAGGACCCAGGGCUGUUCUCAGGUCUGUCUCUG